UACGUAGGGGGCAAGCGUUGUCCGGAAUCAUUGGGCGUAAAGAGCGUGUAGGCGGCCUGGUAAGUCCGCUGUGAAAGUCCAGGGCUCAACCCUGGAAUGCCGGUGGAUACUGUCGGGCUCGAAUCCGGAAGAGGUGAGUGGAAUUCCUGGUGUAGCGGUGAAAUGCGCAGAUAUCAGGAGGAACACCAAUGGCGAAGGCAGCUCACUGGGACGGUAUUGACGCUGAGACGCGAAAGCGUGGGGAGCAAACAGG
rnacentral:rRNA from 1 species